rnacentral:lncRNA from 10 species
AGUCCAGUGAAGGGAGGGCGAGGAAGAAGUCCAGCUGUCUCCCUAAUCUCGCCCUCCUUGCGUAAGAGGUCAAUGACCGAGUAACGUCAUUGAAAUGCAAUUAAAAUGGGUAUUUUAGGCUGGGCGCGGUGGCUCGCGUCUGUAAUCCCAGCACUUUGGGAGGCCGAGGCGGCCGGAUCACCUGUGGCCAGGGGUUCGAAACCAGCCUGGCCAACAUGGCGAAACCCCGUCUCUACUAAAAAUACAAAAUUAGCCGGGCGUGGUGGCGCAUGCCUGUAAUCCCAGCUUCUUGGGAGGCUGAGGCAGGAGAAUCGCUUGAACCUGGGAGGCAGAGGUUGCAGUGAGCCGAGAUAGCGCCACUGCACGCCAGUCUGGGCAACAAGAGCGAAACUCCGUCUCAAAAAAAAAAAAAAGGAUAUUUUACUAAAAACCUUCGCUUGGUGGUGGAUUCGUCUGAGUGGUUGCCGUGCAGACAAUGUAUCUUGUAAAUCCUCUUUAGGUGCUAAAGAGCACCUAAACAUCACAUGGUGAUUUGUAAUCCUUUCCAGUUUUUUUCCUCUUUUAAGGACUUUUGUCCCUGGUGAAAAAGUUAAAUGACUAACUUUUGAAUGCCUGCUAUGGAACCGGUAGUCUAAAAGGAUCCAGGUGUUAACGGUUUGGUAUGGGAGAUAUUGCCAGCCAAAAUUGGAGGCAAUAGAUGAAGAAAGUAAUUUGAGAAUGGGUAACUUCUUUGGUCAGUGACAGGGACAGAGUGAGGAGUUUUGUUUGUCUGUUUUUGAGACAGAGUCUCUCUCUGUCGCCCAGGCUGGAGUGCAGUGGCGCAAUCUCGGCUCACUGCAACCUCCACCUCCCCGGUUCAAGCAAUUCCCCUGCCUCAGUCUCCUGAGUAGCUGGGAUUACAGGCGCACGCCACACGCCUGGCUAAUGUUUUUUGUAUUUUUAGUAGAGAUGGAGUUUCACGACGUUGGCCAGGCUGGUCUCGAACUCCUGACAUCAGGCAAUCUGCCCGCCUCGGUCUCACAAACUGUUGGGAUUACAGGCGUGAGCCACCACACCUGGCCAGUGAGGAGUUUUUAAUAGGGAAUCAAUAAGAUGAUGGCUGUGCAGAUUUAUUUUCUUUUUUCUUUAUUUUUUUCUGAGACGGAG